GGGGGAGAAAAAUAUAGUCAUACGUAAAUUUUUAUUGAGGCAUAAUUUAUGUAUAUAUAUAUAUAUAUAAUCUAUUUAGGAUUAUCGGGGAAAUUAUUUUGAUUUGCUAUUUUUUUUAUGCUUCGUCUUAUAUCUUUUGUAUGUCCAUUAAUACGUUGGUGUACCUGGUUGCUGGUUGGUGUAUAUAUGUAUGGUCACCAACAAGUCUACCGUGAAUUCCGAUCUGUCAGUUUUUAGUAAGAUUUGUUUUGUGAACGGGGCACCCGAAUACUUGUGCGGGAUGUUUAAAUACGCAACCACAUCCAGACGAAAUCGGGACGACGCCUCGUCUUAUCACAUGCUAAAGAGACCCGGUAUCGUACUCUCAACAUUAGAUUUUAGUCAAACAUAAUUCUGAGACAACAAUCCCGCAUUGUGCUAUUUCGCUAUUAAAAAGCCUUCCGUUUAUUCCAUCUUCCCUCCAUCGACCGUGACUAAUUGAAGAACCUAUUUUGAAUUCCUGCGGCCUACUUUGAACAGCCUUUAAUAUACCUGCUGUGGUUUUUGUUUGGAAUAUACAUGAAAUAUUUCCUGCGGGA
rnacentral:lncRNA from 1 species